AAACCAGCACCUCAAGUGGUCAGGAUGAUCAUUGGGCCUAAAGCAUCCGUAGCCUGUCCUGUAAGUUUUCGGUUAAAUCUGUAUGCUCAACAUACAGGCUGCCGGGAAUACUGCAGGACUAGGGAGUGGGAGAGGUAGACGGUACUCGGGAGGAAGUGGUAAAAUGCUUUGAUCUCUCGAUGACCACCUGUGGCGAAGGCGGUCUACCAGAACACGUCCGACGGUGAGGGAUGAAAGCUGGGGGAGCAAACAGGAUUAGAAACCGCGGUAGUCC
rnacentral:rRNA from 1 species